ensembl:lncRNA
CCUCAAUGGGAUUCCUAAUAGGUCAAAUACCUCAUUUGAUGAAGAGUGCCCCACAGGAAUACAAAACAAUAUUGUUCAACAGAUUGACCGCUCUUUGUGCAUUCUAGGUUUGGUGAUAUCCAUCUUUCCCUUGGUAAAGGCGUGGGUUAACAUCAACCCUGUGCUGCCAACUCUUGGCAACUUCCGAGUUCACCCUAUCCCCUCAAAUCCCACGCCGGAACAACCCGCAGAUACAAUGAGACGGGAAGGGACCCAGAGCCAGCUGAAUCCGGAACCUUCCAAGAGCCGGAUGGGGACCUUUGUGGAAGGUGGAGCAGCAGGAGAAAGCAACCCAGAGGAGGGGUAACAUCUGAGUGACGCAGGCAUGCACACGCACACACACACACACACACACACAUGCACACACACACACACACACACACACACACACACACGCAUGCACAUACACG